rnacentral:miRNA from 1 species
UUGUAGAGAAAGAGAAGAGAGCAC